AAGAUUUUUCGAAGAGUUAGGUUGGUUGAGGAGAGAUGAGUAGGGGAGCAGCCUGCGCUUAACUGCGCGGCGACUUCGCUGCCUAUCGCUAAUUUCCUCUGCCUAUAACCGAGCUUCUUUCACACACACACUGGAGUAAUUUUUUAUUCUUCUUCUUUGGGUGGCUUCGGCUGCCCAGAGUACACAACACAAACAAUUUUGUAAUUUACAAUAGUCAUUAUUUAUUUGCUCUAACCAGCAAACCAAAAUAUUCA
rnacentral:rRNA from 1 species